AACGAACGCUGGCGGCAGGCUUAACACAUGCAAGUCGAACGCCCCGCAAGGGGAGUGGCAGACGGGUGAGUAACGCGUGGGAAUCUACCCAGAUCUACGGAACAACAGAGGGAAACUUCUGCUCAUACCGUAUACGCCCUACGGGGGAAAGAUUUAUCGGAUUUGGAUGAGCCCGCGUAAGAUUAGCUAGUUGGUGAGGUAAUGGCUCACCAAGGCGACGAUCUUUAGCUGGUCUGAGAGGAUGAUCAGCCACACUGGGACUGAGACACGGCCCAGACUCCUACGGGAGGCAGCAGUGGGGAAUAUUGGACAAUGGGCGCAAGCCUGAUCCAGCCAUGCCGCGUGAGUGAUGAAGGCCUUAGGGUUGUAAAGCUCUUUCACCGAUGAAGAUAAUGACGGUAGUCGGAGAAGAAGCCCCGGCUAACUUCGUGCCAGCAGCCGCGGUAACAC
rnacentral:rRNA from 1 species